UUUAGGUUCGACUGAUCAUUACUUUCUCUCUAGUUUUAUUGGUGGGUUAAAGAAAAAAAUCAGAUCUAUGGUAAAAAUGCUGAAUCCUGAAAAUUUGAAAGAGGUUUUUGAGAAAGCGAUGUUGUAUGAAAUAUCUCUAGAGGCUUUAUUCAAGAGCACCAAAAAUGACUAUAAGUCACAUUAUAAUGUUCUUGGGCCUAAGUCUCCCAACAUCAUUUUCCUUAAAAGCAACAGUGAUGUGGACAAC
rnacentral:lncRNA from 1 species